CGCCGUAAACGAUGAAUACUAGGUGUAGGGGUUGUCAUGACCUCUGUGCCGCCGCUAACGCAUUAAGUAUUCCGCCUGGGGAGUACGGUCGCACAAUUAAAACUCAUUGGAAUUGACCGGGUCCCGCACAAGCAGCGGAGCAUAUGGUUUAAUUCGAAGCAACGCGAAGAACCUUACCUAGACUUGACAUCUCCUGAAUUACCCUUAAUCGGGGAAGCCCUUCGGGGCAGGAAGACAGGUGGUGCAUGGU
rnacentral:rRNA from 1 species